rnacentral:rRNA from 1 species
UACAGAGAGGGCAAGCGUUGUUCGGAAUUACUGGGCGUAAAGGGCGCGUAGGCGGCCCACUAAGUCAGACGUGAAAUCCCCCGGCUUAACCUGGGAACUGCGUCUGAUACUGGAGGGCUUGAGUAUGGGAGAGGGAUGUAGAAUUCCAGGUGUAGCGGUGAAAUGCGUAGAUAUCUGGAGGAAUACCGGUGGCGAAGGCGGCAUCCUGGACCAUUACUGACGCUGAGGCGCGAAAGCUAGGGGAGCAAACGGG